CAGUAGCCGCGGUAAUACGAAGGGUGCAAGCGUUAAUCGGGAUUACUGGGCGUAAAGCGUGCGUAGGCGGUGAGUUAAGUCUGCUGUGAAAUCCCCGGGCUCAACCUGGGAAUGGCAGUGGAUACUGGCUCGCUAGAGUGUGUCAGAGGAUGGUGGAAUUCCCGGUGUAGCGGUGAAAUGCGUAGAGAUCGGGAGGAACAUCAGUGGCGAAGGCGGCCAUCUGGGACAACACUGACGCUGAGGCACGAAAGCGUGGGGAGCAAACAGGAUUAGAUACCCGCGUAGUCCCUGUCUCUUAUAC
rnacentral:rRNA from 1 species